UACGGAGGGUGCAAGCGUUAUCCGGAUUCACUGGGUUUAAAGGGAGCGUAGGUGGCCUUAUAAGUCAGUGGUGAAAUCUCUGGGCUUAACCCAGAAAUUGCCAUUGAUACUGUAGGGCUUGAGUACAGUUGCUGUGGGCGGAAUAUGACAUGUAGUGGUGAAAUACAUAGAGAUGUCAUAGAACACCGAUUGCGAAGGCAGCUCACAAAACUGUAACUGACACUGAGGCUCGAAAGUGCGGGGAUCAAACAGG
rnacentral:rRNA from 1 species